ACUCGAGUGGCGAACGGGUGAGUAACACGUGGGUGAUCUGCCCUGCACUUCGGGAUAAGCCUGGGAAACUGGGUCUAAUGCCGGAUAGGAGCCAUUUUUAGUGUGAUGGUUGGAAAGUUUUUUCGGUGUAGGAUGAGCUCGCGGCCUAUCAGCUUGUUGGUGGGGUAAUGGCCUACCAAGGCGGCGACGGGUAGCCGGCCUGAGAGGGUGGACGGCCACAUUGGGACUGAGAUACGGCCCAGACUCCUACGGGAGGCAGCAGUGGGGAAUAUUGCACGAUGGGCGCAAGCCUGAUGCAGCGACGCCGCGUGGGGGAUGACGGCCUUCGGGUUGUAAACUCCUUUCGCUAGGGACGAAGCUUUUUGUGACGGUACCUAGAUAAGAAGCACCGGCUAACUACGUGCCAGCAGCCGCGGUAAUACGUAGGGUGCGAGCGUUGUCCGGAAUUACUGGGCGUAAAGGGCUCGUAGGUGGUUUGUCGCGUCGUCUGUGAAAUUCCGGGGCUUAACUCCGGGCGUGCAGGCGAUACGGGCAUAACUUGAGUACUGUAGGGGUAACUGGAAUUCCUGGUGUAGCGGUGAAAUGCGCAGAUAUCAGGAGGAACACCGAUGGCGAAGGCAGGUUACUGGGCAGUUACUGACGCUGAGGAGCGAAAGCAUGGGUAGCGAACAGGA
rnacentral:rRNA from 1 species